UAGCUCAGUUGGGAGAGCGUUAGACUGAAGUUCUAAAGGUCCCUGGUUCGAUCCCGGG
rnacentral:tRNA from 1 species